rnacentral:ncRNA from 1 species
GUUCUGCCACAAGGCACCCGGACGAGGUGCGCCGUACCCGGACAGCGACAAGACGGCGUCGA